AUGGUGGUCGGUGGGGCGCGGCGUGGGCAGGCAGGAUCUGGCCUGCAGUGGACCGGAUUUGGUCACAUGCAGCGGCGGGCUGCAAUGACCCUUCCUAUGUGGUGGUGCAGGGAGCAGCGCUUCGCAGUCUACCGGUGCUUCUCGGAGGUGGUCUGCUCACUUGGGCGAAAGCCACUGCUCCUGCCGGAGCCGGCGAUGGUGACACCCGCGGGUGCCGCUUACCUCCUUGGAGGCAUUGCUGUCAUGGUGACUUCCCCUUCGAGGUUCCUGGGGAAACCCAUGUUCCUGGUCUGUCCGGAACGGCCGAUGGCGGCGCGUUUCGCGUCGCUUCCUUCCUGA
rnacentral:rRNA from 1 species